AGCUUCCCGGAACGAAAGUCUUCCGGUUCCGGGGGAAGUAUGGUUGCAAAGCUGAAACUUAAAGGAAUUGACGGAAGGGCACCACCAGAAGUGGAGCCUGCGGCUUAAUUUGACUCAACACGGGGAAACUCACCCGGCCCGGACACCGUAAGGAUUGACAGAUUGAUAGCUCUUUCAUGAUUCGGUGGUUGGUGGUGCAUGGCCGUUCUUAGUUCGUGGAUUGAUUUGUCUGGUUUAUUCCGAUAACGAGCGAGACUCUAGCCUACUAAAUAGUAACGGGAUUGCUUAUGUCCCGCUUGCUUCUUAGAGGGAUUUUCGGUGUUUAGCCGCACGAGAUUGAGCAAUAACAGGUCUGUGAUGCCCUUAGAUGUCCGGGGCUGCACGCGCGCUACACUGGCGAAAUCAGCGUGCUGUAUCCAUUCUCGAAAGAGAUUGGUAAACCCAUGAAAAUUUGCCGUGCUUGGGAUCGGAAAUUGCAAUUAUUUUCCGUGAACGAGGAAUUUCUAGUAGAUACAUUUCAUCAAAAUGUGUCGAUUACGUCCCUG
rnacentral:rRNA from 1 species